AAGACCUUGCGCUUUUGGAGCGGCCGAUGCCUGAUUAGCUAGUUGGUGGGGUAAUGGCCUACCAAAGCUUCGAUCAGUAGCUGGUCUGAGAGGACGGCCAGCCACACUGGGACUGAGACACGGCCCAGACUCCUACGGGAGGCAGCAGUGGGGAAUUUUGGACAAUGGGCGCAAGCCUGAUCCAGCCAUGCCGCGUGAGUGAAGAAGGCCUUCGGGUUGUAAAGCUCUUUCAGCCGGGAAGAAAAGGUUGCGAUUAAUAAUCGCAAUUUAUGACGGUACCGGAAGAAGAAGCACCGGCUAACUACGUGCCAGCAGCCGCGGUAAUACGUAGGGUGCGAGCGUUAAUCGGAAUUACUGGGCGUAAAGGGUGCGCAGGCGGUUUUGUAAGUCAGAUGUGAAAUCCCCGGGCUUAAACUGGGAACU
rnacentral:rRNA from 1 species